AGGAUUCCCCUAGUAACUGCGAGUGAAGCGGGAAAAGCUCAAAUUUAAAAUCUGGUAGUCUUUGGCUGCCCGAGUUGUAAUCUAGAGAAGCAUUAUCCGCGCUGGACCGUGUACAAGUGUCCUGGAAUGGACCAUCAUAGAGGGUGAGAAUCCCGUCUUUGACACGGACUACCAGGGCUUUGUGAUGUGCUCUCAAAGAGUCGAGUUGUUUGGGAAUGCAGCUCUAAAUGGGUGGUAAAUUCCAUCUAAAGCUAAAUAUUGGCGAGAGACCGAUAGCGAACAAGUACCGUGAGGGAAAGAUGAAAAGAACUUUGGAAAGAGAGUUAAACAGUACGUGAAAUUGCUGAAAGGGAAACGCUUGAAGUCAGUCGCGUUGGCUGGGGAUCAACCUUGCUUCUUGCUUGGCUUACUUCCCAGUUGACGGGUCAGCAUCAGUUUUGACCGGUGGAUAAAGGUCAGGGGAAUGUGGCACCCUCGGGUGUGUUAUAGCCUCUGGUCAU
rnacentral:rRNA from 1 species